CCCUUAGAUGUUCUGGGCCGCACGCGUGCUACACUGAGUAAUUCACUGGGUAAGGGAACGCUAGAGCAUUACCUAAUCUUGAAAUUUGCUCGUGAUGGGGAUCGACGGUUGCAAUUUUCCGUCGUGAACGAGGAAUACCUUGUAGGCGCAUGUCAUCAUCAUGCGCCGAAUACGUCCCUGCCCUUUGUACACACCGCCCGUCGCUCCUACCGAUUGAGUGAUCCGGUGAGGCUCUGGGACCUGGACGGAAAGAGCGUUUCGCUUGUUCUGUUUGGGAAACUUGGUCGAACCUUAUCAUUUAGAGGAAGGAGAAGUCGUAACA
rnacentral:rRNA from 1 species